CCAUAUCAUGUUGAAACAACGGUUCUCGUACGAUCAACGAAGUUAAGCAACGUCGGGCCUUGUCAGUACCUAGAUGGGUCAACGCUUGGGGAUACCAGCUGCAGC